UAGCCGUAAACGAUACUCGCUAGGUGUCGGCCACGGUGCGACCGUUGUCGGUGCCGUAGGGAAGCCGUGAAGCGAGCCACCUGGGAAGUACGGCCGCAAGGCUGAAACUUAAAGGAAUUGGGCGGGGGAGCACCACAACGGGUGGAGCUUGUGGUUUAAUUGGAUUCAACGCCGGAAAUCUUACCGGGACCGACAGCAACAUGAAGGCCAGGCUGAAGACUUUGCCGGAUUAGCUGAGAGGUGGUGCAUGGCGUAGUCGUGU
rnacentral:rRNA from 1 species